AAACCCAAGCUGAGGCUCAGCCGCCUACCCACACAGACAAGGAAACGAGUCUGUGUGCUGAGUCACAGUCUCCAGGAACUGUCCCCAACACCGUCCGCAGCUCCAUAAGGGAGCUGGGGGACAGCAGAACGUCGCAGACCCUGUGGUCUCUCUGAAAAGUCCAAACACAGGAGGGGAACAUUUAAAUCCGCUGAUGGUCCAGGGCACGUCCUAACCUGUUCAAGAGGAAACAGAAAUUGGCGAAGCUCACGCAGACAUCCGCAGCCUCGAGAUCUGAAGACUACCCGAGAAGAAGACCGACCACAGCGUAACUGCCCUCCUUAUUAUCCUGUGGCACUUCCGGGAGAAGGAGGCGUACGCGCUCACACAACGACAUUCGUCCUAUAACGUACGACAGUGAACACAGGUCCAAAUAACAAGAUGCCGUCAGUACCGCCCAGCCUUUCAAGGUUCCGGGGGACGCUCCUGGUCCCUGCUCACUCCUCGGCCACAUCAUUCUGGGCUUUGCCUCCAGCUUCACGGGACUGUUUCUCUGAAUUCACUGUCCUGUGUUCUUGACUCUUUAAGGGAUUCCACGUCUAUGGUAACCCAGCAUGCUUUCAUCUGGCUCCUUGACUAACUACAUCGGCAGUCUCAUUUCCGAGUGUCACGAAGUCUUCCGAGAUUCCAGGCAAGUUAUGAAACGCACGGCAGGGAAGCAUGUUAUAUAGAUGUCUGGGCAUCGGAGAAAGACAUCCCCCAUUGAUUUCCACAGCUACCGGCUAGCAUCACGACACUGGGAGCCUCGCCCACCCACAGCCUUUAGUUGUUCACCUGUGAUGACAGCUUUGAAAUCAAACUGUAGAUAUGGAAGACAUGACAUACCCCCGGUCCCCUGGAUGCAGCCAGUGCUAAUGGUACAGUAACCCUGUAGCGUGCCACCCGACCCAGCCACCUUGGGAUGGAGAAAGCCUGACCUAGUACAGCCUGCCAGGCUGGCUCCUGCUCACAGUACCAUCUAGAAACUUUGCGCCUUUUUUUUUGGUGUGUGUGUGUGUGCUUGACUGCACUCUUGCUACAAGAGGGGGAGGCUGUGUCAUCCCUCCUGUCCCAUCAUUAGGUGAGAACAAAUGUUCUCAGAGACUCUACAGACCUGAAGCAGAGACUGCCAUGGGUUACUGAAGAACACCUGUAAUGGUGCUCUAUAUCUGUAGGUCACAUCUCCUUUGCAAGCCUCUGUCUCCAAAAAUAUCUUCAUUGUGAUUCGUAACAGAAGCAAAAUUACGGUUAUGGAGCAGCAAUGAAAAUAAUUUUAAGGAAUUAUAUUAAAGAGUUGCAGCAUUGGAAAGGUUGAGAAUCAGUGAUCUAUAGGAAACCUGCAGUGAUCUGUAGGAAGCCUGUUUCCAGUUAGCAGGAUCCUUAAUGGGGGUGGGGUAGUGUGAACAGCUCUCAGCCUCGGCAAAGUGCACAUUGUACAAUUAUUUCAUCACAAGUUGAGCUCCAGUCGCUCAGUGUCUGGCAUGAACCAACACUGAAAUCCCUUUUCCUUUAAUCCCCUUCAUCUGAGAAUAACCUCUCUUAAUGAAAGUCUCAAGAGGAGGUUACAAACGAUUUGUUUUUCCAGUUCCUCUUUUUUUUUUUUUUACAAUAUUUCCUAAAAUAGAGAGCCAUUCCUCCUGGCAUCUUCCAUGCAAUACUUUCAGUCAAAUAUGAUGUAGUCAAUACGGCCACACACCACUUCUUCCAGAAUGUCCCCUGGAGCCAGAGAAUGAAGAACAUGCAUCUGGUAUAACAAGUGGGAACCAGAUCGUUGGGGUUCAAACUCCCUGGUACUCUUGACUCCUUGAGUAAGAUCACGUUUUUGUGCCCUGGCAAGAGAGGCAUGUAACCUUGGACUGGGUAGCACAGCCCUACAACAGAUUGCUUAAGGAAGGUCAAAUACAUUCUGCUACUCCCGAAAGGCUAGAGCAAACAUUUCCAAGGCUGCAACAUUGUGUUCUUCGUGCUUUGAAAUCUAUAGAGUUUUCCUGUAACACUUACUUGACUUUUGCAACCAGGCUGGGGAUGUUGCUGCUCAGUGAUAGAUUUGCCUACCAUCGGUCUGGGUCUUGCCCUCAAGACUUCAAAAGUAUGAAAGUCAAAAUAGUUUUAACAUUCUGCAGUCUACUCCGGAGUAUAUGCUUAAGUAUAAAACGUGGAGCACAUGGGGGUUGUAGAGAUGGCUUAGCCGAUAAAAACACGUGCUACUCUUCCAGAGGACCCAGGUUCACAUCCUAGCCUCCCCCCCCCCGGCAGCCCACAAUCAUAUUGUAAUUCUAGGGGAUCCGACGCCCACUUCUGGCCUCUGUAGGCAUUAGGCACGCAUGUAAUGCACAGAUAUACAAGCAGGCAAAGCACCCGCACACAUAAAAUAAAAUAAAAAAGAAUACAUCUUUAACAGUA